GAUGAAGAACGUAGCGAAAUGCGAUAAGUAAUGUGAAUUGCAGAAUUCAGUGAAUCAUCGAAUCUUUGAACGCACAUUGCGCCCGUCAGUAUUCUGGCGGGCAUGCCUGUUCGAGCGUCAUUACGCCCCUCAAGUCCCCUGUGGACUUGGUGUUGGGGAUCGGCGAGGCUGGUUUUCCAGCACAGCCGUCCCUUAAAUUAAUUGGCGGUCUCGCCGUGGCCCUCCUCUGCGCAGUAGUAAAACACUCGCAACAGGAGCCCGGCGCGGUCCACUGCCGUAAAACCCCCCAACUUCUGAAUGUUGACCUCGAAUCAGGUAGGAAUACCCGCUGAACUUAAGCAUAUCAAUAAGCGGAGGA
rnacentral:misc_RNA from 1 species